rnacentral:pre_miRNA from 1 species
AAUAAGUUUGUUUUUCAGUUUUAGGAUAGAAUGUUUGACUCUUCGUCUGAUUUGAAAGUUUUGUGCUAUUAAUACUUUUUAUUGUUAUUAUAUGAUAAAACAUAAAUAAUAUUUUGUGCGUGAAUAAUUUUUUUGAGUUUUUUCUAUAAAUUUUUUAAAUAAGAUGGAUGGUCAAACACUUGACACAAAAACCGAUAAAUGAGGUUUUU